GUGCUGCCGCAGGUGCUGC
rnacentral:misc_RNA from 1 species